rnacentral:lncRNA from 1 species
CUCAAGUGAUCCGCCCACCUCGGCCUCCCAGAGUGCUGGGAUUACAGGCAUGAGCCACCAUACCCAGCCUAUUAUUGUUUAAUAUCACAAUACAAAUAUUUUAACAAGCAUAACUUCUUUACUCUCCCCCAUCACAUUCUCCUCCUAAGAGGUAACCAUUCCAAGCCUUUUCAGUUUUUGUAGUUUUACUUUGUAUUUUAACAUAAGUGGUAUCAUAUUGUGCACAUUUUCUGAAACUUGGCCUUCCCUCUUCCACCACCUAAAUCUUGGAGCUCCUUCCAAUGUCAUCAUAUUGUGACUUCAUUCUUUUAAAUGGUUGUAUAGUAGUCUUUAGUUUGGUUUUGCCAGUUUAUUGUUUGCUUUUUUCCCACUAUUUCAAACAAUUUCAGCAUGCUUUUAAAAUAACAUCUUUUUUUCUCCCCAUUACAUUACCAUCAAAGCUCCUCAUGAAAAUUCACAGCAUUGUCCCAGUUGCACCUAGUACCACCAGGAACUUUAAGGCAAAUUGCACCCCCUAGAGGCCUGGAGUGGUAAUGGCAGCUGCCACCUGCUGGAAAGAAGCUGGGAAAAAGCUGGAAUCAGCUGAGCACUGGCAAAGAAAGAGGGUCAAAGAGUAGAAGACAGAGAUUCAGAGACAUGAGGUCAGGGGAAAUUUCCAAGUGAGUCACAGUAGCUGUAAAGGUCCUUCCCAUCCUUACCCUCUGGAGCAUUUGGCUAUUUUAUGAGUCAUUUUCCCUAGUGUCCCUCUCCACCUAACAGUUCCUUUUCCUAGAUCUGGCCUUUACUUGAGAUGAGUAGGGAAGAGUAGAUGGGACUCCUCCAAGACCCAGGAAGCUACUUCUGGUAACAGUUGUCACAUACCAGGCAGUGGACUGGGUCACCUGAUGGCCAGCUCCAUGAAGCUGGUAGGCUUUGGAACCUUGGAGAACUCAGACCUUGGCAAAGGAGUCAGGAGCACCACUCAGGCAGCGUAGCCAAAUGGGCUCCCCCAGCCUUCUGCCCCUUACUUUGUAGCCCCAUCCUGCACCUCCCACACCAUAACCUUCAGUGGCUUCUUCUUCCUUCUGCGUUAAUCCCAAACUCCUCUGUCUGGCAUUCAAGUCCUUCAUGUUCUGAGUUUGUAACCAGAGAGGGUCUUCGGCCCCUUAGCACAGGACCAGACUUAUAAUUAGUGACAUGGAUAUUUGUUGAAUAAGUGGCUGAAUAAAUGAAUUUUACUUCUCUAACCUGACCUCUCUCUUCACCCCUCUAUCCAGAGCCACACUUAUGCUCACUUUUAAAUGCAUUUUUGCACACACUAUCCCUCCUUCCUAGAAUGUCCACCUCUCUCCAGGUCAUGGUGUCACCUAAAGGAAGCCCUCUCUGACUGCGCCAUCCUUCUGUGAUUGUCUCUCCCCCGCCAGCCUUUCCCUGGCAUCAAGUACACACUAACUACCCUAACAUGGGAGUUGUGGUUCCUGAAAAACAGGGGGCAG